GUCCUUUAGGUAAUUAUAAUUUAAGGUCUAACCUGCCCAUUGAUAAGUUAAAAGGCCCCAGUAAUUUGACUGUGCAAAGGUAGCAUAAUCAUUAGUUUUUUAAUUAAAAGCUUGUAUGAAUGGUUGGACGAGAUAAAAUCUGUCUCUUUAUAAAAAAUAGAAUUUAAUUUUUAAGUUAAAAAGCUUAAAUUUAUAUAAAAGACGAGAAGACCCUAUAGAUCUUUAUAAAAUUUUUUUUAAUAUUAAUAAAGAAAUUUUAAUUUAUUAUAAAAAUUUUUAUUAUAUUGGGGUAAUAAAAAGAUUAAUAUAAUUCUUUUUUUAAUAACAAUUAUUAUUGAUUAUAUGAUCCAUUAUUAAUGAUUAUAAGAUUAAGUUACCUUAGGGAUAACAGCGUAAUUUUUUUAGAGAGUUGUUA
rnacentral:rRNA from 1 species